AAAAAAAAAAAAAAAAAAAAACCCUCAAUCGAAAAAAAACCCUAAAUUCACAAAAACUCUCAGCUCACUCUCAACCUAUCUCUCGAUCUCUAAUCUCGCCGUCGUGCACUGUGCCAUUUCCCUUUCCAUUCCCUCUCCAUCCAACACACUCCCCACUUCGAAAUCGCCUUCUCCCCUCCUUCCCUCACUUCCACCCUCUCUGAUUUCCUUUCCACCCAAAUCUCCAAAUCCCCCUCCUCCCAUCCGAAUUUGGGUGACAUUUAGUACAUCAAAUGCCAGGUCUAUGAAAAGCUCGCAGCAUAGUUGUACCACCAAGUUCGGAAGAAGCAAGCUAAGGUCAAUCCCAAGAAGGUUUUGAAGAAAGCUGAAGCGGAUGGAUUUUACUGAUAGAUAUAGUGGAAUAAGGGAAUAAGUUCAAGGUUUCCCCUUCUGUUAUUCAAUUUCGAGAAAGUGCUAUAGGUUUCCCCUUCUCUCCACAUCCUCUGUCACGGUCCCUUCAAUCGGACCAAAUCAGUGCUGCGGAUCCUUAGGGUGUGGUCAGGAAGGCGUCGUCCUUGGCGGAGACAAUUGCUCUUCAAUAGAACAACCCACAUGACAAGACGAACGACAGGAGGAAGGGAUGAGAAUAAGACCAAGGCACCACUAUUCCAUUGGAGAAGUAGAGGAGCGUCUACACACCAGUUGUCUGUUGUAGUGGCAAGGCUACCUUUGGUAUGGCUUCAAAUAUGGGCACUGUGGUGAGCGUGCCUUCUGGAACAUGGCUGGGGAGAAGAAAAACUGGAGCCGCUACGUUGAUACGGUGCAUCUGAGGAUCUUUGGCUUUGAUGACACACUUUGGCGCCAAGAAGUUCUUGGAGAUAGGUGUGUAGUCCAAGAUCUAAUGGGUUGCCCUAAGUUGGCCGUCUGUAUGAACGAACACCUCAGCUUUCAAUAUCUUGUCCAAACUCUGAUGGUUCAUAAAACCGAAGUUGUGCAAAGCGGCAUUUUUAUCUGGGAAACCACAAAGAGAAAUAGGAAAACAUUGUUAGCAGAGGAAAUAUACAGAGUUGAUCAAAGAAAAACUUAUAUAAUUAUCCAAACCUAGACCUAAGACCCCUCCUGGUUGCCCUUCUCUUGUUGGGCAAGGGAGGUCAUCAUGCCAUUCCCCUAAUACAAUCAAGAAGUCUUUGUUUGAGCCUUUAUUGAAGUCAGGGAGGCAUUGAAUAAGCCUGACCGCGGGGUAUCUAGACUUGAGGUAAUACUCCUGCCCAGUGAGGUGGUGGAGAUUGUAGAUCCAAUUGACAUCGCAGUGAGUCAAUCCUAAGCCCAUUUUUUCAUUGAGGGCAUCUACACACCCAAGUAUCCUGAACAUAUUUAGGGCGCACUGGGUAGGAGCUUGCCUAUGGGCCCUAAGGUAGUCUCAGGUAACAAUACCCAUAGGGAUUCUCAUCCCUCCUUCUAUGAAGGCAAUCAUCGAGAUUACUACUUCUCCCUCUUGCCUAUCUGCGUGCCAUUGACCGUCUUUACAGUACCUAGUGCCUACUCCGGGAGGAAUCUUAUAUUUAGCCCUAAAGUUUGCCAUUCCCUCCUUGGAUUCUACUAAGCUCUUGAAUCUACCCAUUUCUAAGAAGGGUUGAGAGAACUAAAAAGAUUGAGAAAAGAGAGAGUGGAGCCGAGGAGGAGAAAAAUAUAGAGAAAAGAAAAAUAUAUGGAAAAACAAAAGGUAAAGGUUUAGGAAGACUUACAGAAAGAAAGGAAGUAUCCUCAGUCUGUCUUUUUGUAUUUAAGAAGGCACAAAUGAGAUAGAAGAAUUCACAGGUUUAGUGUAUAUGCGCUAAAACGAAAUGAAUGCUAAGACAAGAUGAAUGAUUGAUUUGAAGAGUAUUUAUAUUGAAUACAGGGUUAGAGGCGAGAGAAUUCCCGCUCAGGUCCUAGCGAAAUCCUCAAUCAUUGGAUUCGCAUCAAGUUGUAGAACGUAGGGGAUAGAGAGUAGUAAAAAUUUAAUGAAAAGUGCGUCUCGUAUGCCGAUGCAUCAGGAGCAUGUCUUGGGUAGGUAAAAAGGCGCCUACACAAGUAAAGGUGAGGCAUGAGGAGCACAAACUAGCUAGGGUGAAGUUGAAAUCCUCCUUUCUUGCCGAGGAGUCAGAAAGAAGAAUCCCGAGGGGCUAUUGUAGGGAUAUUGGGCCCAGGAGUUCAUUACCUAUUUGUAUAUUGGGCUUGUGGCCCAAGCCGAGGACAACGUUUUGUCUAAGGAGAAGGAAUCUUUGUCAGAAAAGACUGUGUUAGUAAAUAAAGAAGUUAGUUUUGGUCAUAAUGGCUCAACAGGAUGGGUCGAGAAUAAACAUCUCCUCGACUUGCAAAGGCAGAGGUCCAAAGAGGUAGUCUGUCGACCAAGGUAACGUUCUAGGAAGUUUUGUUGGUGCGGAUAAGCAAUGCAGAGGCAUCAGACAAGUAAGGAGAAAGCUGCUACUUCUGCAUUAAAUGCACUGCAGCUAAUUCCCUGGCCGCAUUAAUGUGGAGGUGAUAUCUGAAUAGUGAAUUUCAGCUUUACAGCUACUACAUGAAGACUUACGGAAGGUUCUGAUGGGACAAGUAUCAACAUCAACUAUCUGUCAUGCACGUGGAGUGAAAAGGAUGAAAGGAAGAAGGAGUAUAAGAGAAAGAGGAAGAAAUGAAAGAGGGGGAUCGAAAAUCAGAAAAGAAAUAUUGUAUCAAUCUAGAACCAGACUUGUAACCACAUUUAAGAGCAUUAUAUAAGAACUAGUCUCCUUGGACUUUGCCAAGGACAUUUUCUCUUCAGUUUAAACUUGUCUAUUUUCACUCUUUUGUCACCAACCUACUUUACUUGUUGUUUGAUUAACUAAAACCCAAUU